rnacentral:lncRNA from 1 species
GCAUAUAUAGUCCAUGAAUCAGAGUGUUUUUUUUUUGAGAGAAAUGUAGCGAGCUACCCACUUCAUUUAUUAAGAGGGAUGAACUAGGCUUACAAGGUGGAUGCAGCGAAGACUUCCGGAGGAAAACAAAUAGUACAAAAAACCCAAAAAAAAGUGAGCGAAAAGAAAGAAGAAGCAAAAGAAAAAGAAAAAAGAGAAAGGAAAAAAGCAAGGUAUACGAUCCGCACUCAGCAGAAAUUGCUCUAGUUGUUUAGGAGAACGUUGAUACGGUUAAGCGAGCGCAGGGGGUUGGGAGAUGUCAU